GUCUUGGUGGCUCAAUUGUUAAGUGUUUGGCUGUUAACUGAAAGUUGGUGGUUUGAACCCACCCAGCGGCU
rnacentral:tRNA from 1 species